rnacentral:tRNA from 2 species
GGGCGGUUAACUCAGCGGUAGAGUGCCAUCCUCACACGGUGGAAGCCACUGGUUCAAAUCCAGUACCGCCUACCA